rnacentral:rRNA from 1 species
UGGGGAAUAUUGGACAAUGGGGGCAACCCUGAUCCAGCAAUGCCGCGUGGAUGAUGAAGGCCUUCGGGUUGUAAAGUCCUUUCGGCGGGGAAGAUGAUGACGGUACCCGCAGAAGAAGCCCCGGCUAACUUCGUGCCAGCAGCCGCGGUAAUACGAAGGGGGCUAGCGUUGUUCGGAAUUACUGGGCGUAAAGGGCGCGUAGGCUGUGCUGUAAGUCAGGCGUGAAAGCCCCGGGCUCAACCUGGGAAUUGCGCUUGAUACUGCGGCGCUGGAAGGUGGGAGAGGAUGGCGGAAUUCCCAGUGUAGAGGUGAAAUUCGUAGAUAUUGGGAAGAACACCGGUGGCGAAGGCGGCCAUCUGGCCCACAAUUGACGCUGAGGCGCGAAAGCGUGGGGAGCAAACAGGAUUAGAUACCCCCGUAGUCC